AUUGAACGCUGGCGGCAUGCCUUACACAUGCAAGUCGAACGGCAGCGCGGGGGCAACCCUGGCGGCGAGUGGCGAACGGGUGAGUAAUACAUCGGAACGUGUCCAGUCGUGGGGGAUAACCAGUCGAAAGACUGGCUAAUACCGCAUGCGCCCGAAAGGGGAAAGCGGGGGACCUGUGAGGGCCUCGCGCGAUUGGAGCGGCCGAUGUCCGAUUAGCUAGUUGGUGAGGUAACGGCUCACCAAGGCGACGAUCGGUAGCUGGUCUGAGAGGACGACCAGCCACACUGGGACUGAGACACGGCCCAGACUCCUACGGGAGGCAGCAGUGGGGAAUUUUGGACAAUGGGGGCAACCCUGAUCCAGCCAUGCCGCGUGUGUGAUGAAGGCCU
rnacentral:rRNA from 1 species